rnacentral:rRNA from 1 species
UCUGGGAUAAGCGCUGGAAACGGCGUCUAAUACUGGAUAUGAGCUCCUUCCGCAUGGUGGGGGUUGGAAAGAUUUUUCGGUCUGGGAUGGGCUCGCGGCCUAUCAGCUUGUUGGUGAGGUAAUGGCUCACCAAGGCGUCGACGGGUAGCCGGCCUGAGAGGGUGACCGGCCACACUGGGACUGAGACACGGCCCAGACUCCUACGGGAGGCAGCAGUGGGGAAUAUUGCACAAUGGGCGGAAGCCUGAUGCAGCAACGCCGCGUGAGGGAUGACGGCCUUCGGGUUGUAAACCUCUUUUAGCAGGGAAGAAGCGAAAGUGACGGUACCUGCAGAAAAAGCGCCGGCUAACUACGUGCCAGCAGCCGCGGUAAUACGUAGGGCGCAAGCGUUAUCCGGAAUUAUUGGGCGUAAAGAGCUCGUAGGCGGUUUGUCGCGUCUGCUGUGAAAUCCCGAGGCUCAACCUCGGGCCUGCAGUGGGUACGGGCAGACUAGAGUGCGGUAGGGGAGAUUGGAAUUCCUGGUGUAGCGGUGGAAUGCGCAGAUAUCAGGAGGAACACCGAUGGCGAAGGCAGAUCUCUGGGCCGUAACUGACGCUGAGGAGCGAAAGGGUGGGGAGCAAACAGGCUUAGAUACCCUGGUAGUCCACCCCGUAAACGUUGGGAACUAGUUGUGGGGACCAUUCCACGGUUUCCGUGACGCAGCUAACGCAUUAAGUUCCCCGCCUGGGGAGUACGGCCGCAAGGCUAAAACUCAAAGGAAUUGACGGGGACCCGCACAAGCGGCGGAGCAUGCGGAUUAAUUCGAUGCAACGCGAAGAACCUUACCAAGGCUUGACAUACACCAGAACACCGUAGAAAUACGGGACUCUUUGGACACUGGUGAACAGGUGGUGCAUGGUUGUCGUCAGCUCGUGUCGUGAGAUGUUGGGUUAAGUCCCGCAACGAGCGCAACCCUCGUUCUAUGUUGCCAGCACGUAAUGGUGGGAACUCAUGGGAUACUGCCGGGGUCAACUCGGAGGAAGGUGGGGAUGACGUCAAAUCAUCAUGCCCCUUAUGUCUUGGGCUUCACGCAUGCUACAAUGGCCGGUACAAAGGGCUGCAAUACCGUGAGGUGGAGCGAAUCCCAAAAAGCCGGUCCCAGUUCGGAUUGAGGUCUGCAACUCGACCUCAUGAAGUCGGAGUCGCUAGUAAUCGCAGAUCAGCAACGCUGCGGUGAAUACGUUCCCGGGUCUUGUACACACCGCCCGUCAAGUCAUGAAAGUCGGUAACACC